CGAUUUGAUACGCCCCCACACAUAAAAUUUAUUGACGAGAUCGCUGAUAGAACAAUUUAUAUCGGUUAACGGGGGACAUACACUGAAGCCUGUAUUACACGGCUAUAAAUCUUUCAUAGGCGGGUUCAACAUGGCAAGUCCGUCGAGGAAUGUGAAGCUAAAAUGCUGAGUUUGAAGGAAUUAUUGCAAGGCAGGAACACAGGUUGCUGCCACCUGUAUAUUUGAAUAUUAAAUACCAUGUAUAUUUUCACGUUCAUACAUUCGUGAAUGUGCAUAUGUAAGGUUUUUUUUCUUUUUAAUUUGCCCUUUAUUUACAGGCACUCGUACUAUAGAGUUGGCCUCCAGUCGACAAGCCGAGCUGCUUGAAUCGCAGUCCAUAACAAAUUAUAAGAGUUGGCUCUGUUCCCGAUAUACACGUCUCCCAAAUAUAUUAUAAUACUUGAAAGUUAUUCGAACGCUGUCUGCCGCUCUGACGUCAUACGAUACAACAACAUUGUUGAAAAAGUUACUUGAAAAUGAAAAUUCGUUUCCUAGUGUCGACUUGACGUCACCUGUCACUCGCUCUCCAUACUUUCCACACUUUCGUUGAGUGAAACUGGACGGGUGUUACAAAGUAACAGUAUCAAGCAUGUUCACCUAGCCUAGUAGUGAAAUGAAAGCGUGUUUCAUCGCGAGACAGCCAAAUGAAUACACAAAAAGUGGCCGCUCUGUGGAAGACAUCACAGUGGUACAAAAAAACAUGCUAUCGACUACCGUUUAACGCGAGUUGCAUGGUUUAUAAGGGCCCUAAGAAGUUUUUUGGAUUAGAAUCAAAGAUACAGCAUAGGCCUAACUAUAACCUAUCUACCUUGGUUUGCUUGUGUCAGAGCUUAUAAAUUUGUUAAGCUACAACGAUGGUGGUGCCACAUUAACGCCUACGCAAGGGAAAUCUCUUGUGAUUGUAGACACUCGUCGCUCGUCUCUCACAAUUGUUGAAUGACAUUUUGUGACUGAACACGCCCUGAAGAUCUAGGAUGGCAAAAUGAAGUUUGGAAGGAUAGCUGAGCCAUUCAGAAUGACAUGAGCUGUCAGUUGGGUUGGAUGCCAGUAGCAGUCGCCAAGAAAGAGUGAAUUAAUGCAGAGAGAAUGCAAAGCCUUGAGCAGACAGUACUUGGCUCCUCAUCAGUCCACUAAUGGAGGGAGGAAGUCAUCUUAUCUGGUGAUCUAUAUGCAGGAUUAAUUCAUAAGGAGGUUAUGUGGUUGCUUCGCUAUCAGUAAUCUGUUGCCCCUUGUAUGUCAUGGCUAGCUAGUCUUCUCAGUUUUGUUUGAUGGGAAAAAAAAUUGGUUUGCAAAAUGCAACUGUGGAAGCCCAAAGGCACCAUGUUUAUCGUACCGCACUGAACACGCUACUGGCAUCGUCGAGCACGCCCACCUCUCCAUCGCCUCACCCGUGUGGACAACACUCACGGAUAAGUCCGCCAGAAUUUGCCCGUCAACCCUGGAGCACGCCGAUCAGGCCCGGUCGUGUGGACAGGCCUUAGGUUCACAGGAUACUUAGGUUCAUAGCAACAACAGCCUCACUUUUUUGUCAGCAUUGUUGUAAUCUGCUUAGUCUUUAUGUAUAAAUGACAAGGAUGCAAUCCUAGCUGAUGAUGAUAAACCAGAAGCCUGAGAUACACCAUACAUGUCAGCCUUGCAGGAAAUAAUGCACAUGGGAUGUACUGCUUCGAUUCCUUGAAGUCAUAAGAUCAAAUGAAAGUAAAUGCUAGAAAAGACAAAAAGACCUACAACAACCAAAACAAUAUGCAGUUAGCCGAGGAAAUUUCAAAUAAUGGAAUUUUAAAACAAUGCCAAAUCAGUGAAGGGAUCAGAUUACAGAUGAAUCUCCAAGGCAGAAGUCACAAUAUGGAGAUGCAGAAACUUUCUUCUUGCUAGCACCUUUUUCAACUGGAGUAUGUUCAGUAGGAGAUGACAAAGCUGAUGGUACUGCUGGUCCAGCCCCUACAGGAUUGCCUCCAGCUCGACGGCCAGAUGAACGUCCUAAUUAAGUACAGUAAAUUUGAAGACAUUGUCAAACAGCAGAACCUAUAUAUGAAUAAGAACAAUCUGAUAUGGAAACAGACAUGAACAGUUUCUACAUAACAGAGCCCCAAUUUCUCAAGACAUGAAUAAAACAGCUCAUCAUUGAAAAUAAAAAUACAACCAUAUUCUCAAGAAUAUACAAACAAUUUCAUUAUUCUGUAAAAUAAGAAAAAUUCUAAGACCUAAAACUUCUGACCUCCAUUCUAAGGCAAACCAACCACAACAAUAACCAAUUCACUUUCAUAUAGUAAUUUAAAUUUUAGGUACAAUGCAAUAUUCAUAAUAUACAAACUGCUGUUCAACAUUAGGUGGUAAUCCGUAACUGCUGUAUCGAAAAACUCAUCCAAACCUAUAUAUGUAAUUUCUAUGACUUGAGGAUUCUGCAAACCUUACUGGUGUAAGUGAACAAAUAUUGAAGAAAUGGAGUAACUUUGUUAAUUAUGCCUAACCUUGGAAAGGUUUCCUACGGCAUCCUCCAUGAAUACUAUUCUAAGCAAUUUUGCAUAAGAUAUACUGUAAAAUAUGCUAGUUGAAUACUACAUAAAAAAUUAUGACAAAAUAUCCUGAACCAAUGUACUUCCAAAAUUUGGGGCAAUAUAUUUCCAAAAUUUGGAGUACGUUAAUACCUCAGACUCUGAACUUAAUCUAUUCCAGAAGGCUGUUUGAAAUAUGAUUUGUUCAAAAUAUGAAACAGAUAUUCCCAUAAGAAAUAAAGGGAAUCAGAAUAAUCCGUUCGAGCCAACCGAAAGGAGUACCCCUUUUCAAUUUUUUUUUCUAUUAUUAAUGUGUUCAAAAGUUUAAUUAACCCUCUUACGCCGGAGCGGUAAAUAAAAAAUUGUCUCCCGUGUGCCGGAGGGGUUUCGGAGUGAGCGAGGAAGCAGAAAAAAUAUUUUUUUCAAAAAAUCACAGCGUGCUUAGUUUUCAAG